GUACGGGACCGCGGGUGCGUGCAGAAUGAGCGUAACCAAGCGCCGGCAGAGAGAACAGGGAAGGGAUCGCACUGGAGGGAACGUGAGGAAACUUUUCACCUAAUGGAAAAAUGCUUUGGGGUCCUCAGCCUGCCAAGGGCAAAAGCUGGACGUGGGGAUGUUCCCCUCGCUCCCGUCUUCAGCAGCAGCCUCAGCCAUCAGAGCACAGCCCCUUCUACCCGCACCGCGUGCUCCGCGUUAGGAGCCUGCGCGGGCAGAGACCAGCCAGUCGCACGCGUGGAACAAGUGAUCCGGAGAGCUCCGCUUCUGCUGCGCUAAAUGCUUCCGAGCAGCGUUCAAGGGCAAAGUGCGGAUCACGGACUCCUGGGAGGAGAUGAUAUUAGUUGUCUCUCAAACCGUCAUCCGAGGCAGCAUGAGGAAUGAUCUUACAUCAAGGUUUUCAAAAAUUAUGGCCAAGACAGGCAGCCCACCCUACUCCUUGGGACAUCUGGGAUGAUUUGAAAAGUUUGGAGCAUGGGAAGGGCAGGAGCCCUCCUCGGGAGAGGACAGACCUCCUGCUUUGCCAGCCGACACCGCUGGAGAGACAGCACGGAGAGAAGCUGACACCACCUCGCAGUUUGUCCUAGGCUGGUGGGACGCAUGGGGUCAUGUUCCAGCCGUUCUCCUGUCCGAAGGGUCUUCCAGAUCGAAUUUGCUCUGUUUGCAAACCAGAAGAUGAUUUUCCUAAUGGCUGUAACUACAUUGCUCAUAUUCUGGCUGCACAGACUUGCUCCUGUAUAGCUGCAGUGCAUCUGGGAGGAGGGAAGGUCGGGGGCACUUGGAGGCCUCUUUCAACUCGGGUCCUCGUGGGAAUUGCCAGAAUCCAGUCUCACCUCUUGGAGGGAGGAAUCUUCCUCAUCCGAUCAUGCCCAGCGAUAGAGAUCGCUCAAGACGUUGCGCCGCAGGCAUCCUUCCCGACGGAGGUAGCAAAGUCCCAGAAUGAUCUGCGGUAAAGUGAUGCGGUUUCGUGGCAUUGGUGUCACUUAAAUACAGUACUUAGGGUGGUGAUAAACCAGCCAAACCAAACAGACAAAUGUGAUUCAGAAAUAUUGACGGUGGGCUCGAUGGCAAGUGCUAUCUGGAGAAGUGAAAGGAAAAAUAAAACUUCCUUUUCGUAGAGGCUUUAAACA
rnacentral:lncRNA from 1 species